UUUCCAUAAUUGAAUGCCAUUAAAAUUUAAAGCUCACAACAUUUGCAUUCUAUAGAAUUAUUAUCAAAAACUAAAGAGUCUUACAACUAAAUUCAUAUUUAUUCAUAUCAUGCAUCAACUCUAACAAAGAGGAAAAACGAAACAAAAACUAACAGCCCCAAAAAUCAAUUAUAGUGAUGCUAAAAUUGACAUGAUGACUCAUAAACCUUACACCUGCGACAUUGUUACUAGUGUCGACUAUCCAUCAUCAUAAAUCUGAUUUAGACCGGAAAUGUAAAACACAACAACACAUAAAUCAUUCACAGCAUUUCGAGGUGUAAUGGCUAUACUUAGCUUAUACAUAGGUAUGCAUUAAGCACUGAAUCGAAGGCAUUUAUAUGCAAAAACUCAUCAUAAAAAAAAGCAUAACAAGCAUUAAACUAGUUUUAAUAACCUGUGUUCUAACCAAAAAUUGCAAUUGGGACGUCAAUGUAAUCGACACAAUGACACCACAACACACACACUGCUAAGUGAAUUAUUGCACUGAAGCAAUCAACAAAAACAACACCACAACCAAUACACAACAACUGCGCUGGGUCGAAGACGAACAAACUUUCGAUAACCAAAAUACAGCAUACGACAGUGAAGUUUGUAAUUGCUUGACAGAAACAACCAUAUGAUUAAAUCAGAUUGAAACACCAUAAUAAAUACGUUCAAAGAAAAUUAAAAUCGUUACCAAAAUGCAAAUUACGUUGCUGAUACGCUUGUCGAUGUCGCCAUUGAGCUUCUGCAGCAUUGUCAUAGUAUAAUUUGUGACUUUCUUUGAGCACAUCGACCCUUUCCAAUCUUCAGCUAUUGCCGGCUCCGGCGUUGCUUUUCGUAUACUCCAUUCGAGUAUGACAGAGUAAUCAUACUCCAACCUGCACAAAAACGGACAACAUCCACACAGGGUAUCAUGAGGAUUCGAAAUCGCCAAACAGAGUUGGGUCGACGGUGUGAUUUCAGUUCACCGUUGUGCAGAAUUUCUGGAGGAUAGGGUUUUAGAUGGCGGCAAGCUCGGAUGUGAGUAAAAGUGGUGAAGGGAAACCGUGCUUUGUGAAAAUAUGAAGAAGUGGGUUAUGGCGGACGGAAAGCUUUCACCGGAGGUUGUCGCGUGAAGGUCGGUUGUAGUGUUGUGACGGCG
rnacentral:lncRNA from 1 species